rnacentral:rRNA from 1 species
UAGGGAAUCUUCCGCAAUGGGCGAAAGCUUGACGGAGCAACGCCGCGUGAGUGAUGAAGGUCUUCGGAUCGUAAAACUCUGUUAUUAGGGAAGAACAAAUGUGUAAGUAACUAUGCACGUCUUGACGGUACCUAAUCAGAAAGCCACGGCUAACUACGUGCCAGCAGCCGCGGUAAUACGUAGGUGGCAAGCGUUAUCCGGAAUUAUUGGGCGUAAAGCGCGCGUAGGCGGUUUUUUAAGUCUGAUGUGAAAGCCCACGGCUCAACCGUGGAGGGUCAUUGGAAACUGGAAAAGUUGAAUGCAGAAGAGGAAAGUGGAAGUCCAUGUGUAGCGGUGAAAUGCGCAGAGAUAUGGAGGAACACCAGUGGCGAAAGCGACUUUGUGGUCUGUAACUGACGCUGAUGUGCGAAAGCGUGGGGAUCAAACAGG